rnacentral:lncRNA from 1 species
AAAAAAUUCUACUAACCAGAAAUUGUUCCCUGGAAGCAGCUUUUAGAUUACCUACAAUUUCCACUGACACACUUGUGUUAGCAUUAAAUGCUAAUCACCAGAGUACCGGUGUUUAAACUGAUAAAUGUUACUACAUCUCCAGCUCAGCAGGUGGUGAAGAAGGGAGAGCGGGUGGUGCUGCCCUGCCCAGUGAAAGUGGAGUUCAACAAUUUUGCAGUGUUCUGGUUGAAAGUGACGGAAAGCGGAGGAAAGACGGAGCUCAGUCUCUCAGACGGGAGCGGCAGAGUCCGGCUGGCGGAGGAUAAAGUUUCACUGGUGAUUUCUACAGCGAUGGUGUCGGACGCUGGACACUACAACUGCCAAGUGGUCCCACCUCAGAGACCAGAGAUGACAGGAAGUGUUCAUCUGAGUGUCCUCGCGCCCCCUAGUGCUCCACAGCUCUUCCUCCGGGUUCCACAGGACCCUGCAGUGGAGAAGUGGAGCUUACUGUGCACCACCACAGGUUUCUACCCUGCACAGCUGACCCUGCGCUGGACCUGGAGCAGCACCAGAGCACAGGGACCUCCACAGAGCGUUACCUGCCCCCUGAAACCAGCGAAUCAGGAGAUCAACCAAUCACAGACCAGAGCAGUGAACUCUGAACCUAACAGAACCGUAACCCUGCUGUCACACCACUGCGUCAGCGGCCCCGAGGGCCCCGGCCCCGAGACACAGUUAACCAGCACUCUGAUCCUGCCCUCCAGAGCAUCUAUCAGCACUGAUAUCAGAUUCACCUGCACUGUGGAGGACCACCCUGCACUAGAGACCACCCUCUCCGCUACUUUCAACCUGGAGUCGACACCCAACGCAGUGAUUGGAUGCCUCAACAUCGUUAAGAUUGUGGUUCUCUCUGGGAUUUGUGUAUUGAUCGCCACUCUGGAAAUUGUGUAUCUAUGUGAAAGGAGGCCUAAAUACUCCAAAAUGAAGGGUCCGCCGUCAUGCUAACAGAGGGCGAGGAGAGCACAGAGACGCCGCACAUCCGACACGGCCUCGUAAUCGCUGCCCCUGCUACGCCGUGUUGUUCAGGACGGGCUUUUAAACAAAUCUCCCUGACAGCAGCCCCGUCUACAGCCCGGCCUCGCCGCUUUCCCCUGAUAGCUUUCCAUGUAAACAAAAGGGAACAUUUUCACAGCCUGAACACGUGUCUGCCGUCUUAACGAAGUCCAGACAUCUGAAACAAAACUGUGUAUCUGGGUCAACCUCAGAAUACUGCGCCUUUUGGCUCUUAAACCUGAUUUUUCAUCAUGUUUACAAGACUUUAUACAUAGAAAUCAUAUUUUCCUAAUGAAUUAAUCACUUUCUAUUUUCUGCAAGCUGUUUAACAGAGUAAAAGGUAUUGCUAUCUUACACCUCGCCAAGCCUUCAAUCUGUGGCGGUACAUUUCUGGUGUAUUGCUAACUUGGCAACAGAAAACACAGGUGCACCACUGACUGAAUACAACCUAAACAGACAUCAACAGUCAAGAGGUUCAUUGCUAUAUUGGCAACUUCUGUACACCCCCACUUGUUACACACACAACGAAACACAGCAGUGCACAAACCCAACUAUUUACAUUAAGAUUAACAACACAUACCUUUACAGUGUUAACGAGCAGGUCAGUUUCCUCUGCUAGGAAGUGCAGAAGCUCUGCGCCGUUAAAAGAGCAAUCCGCCGAAGUCAGAGUGCACCUGGCUUUUAAAGGGAAUAAAAAAAAG